CGGGGGGAGCAAGCGUUGUUCGGAUUUACUGGGCGUAAAGGGCGCGUAGGCGGCGUGACAAGUCACUUGUGAAAUCUCCGGGCUUAACCCGGAGCGGCCAAGUGAUACUGUCGUGCUAGAGUGCGGAAGGGGCUACUGGAAUUCUCGGUGUAGCGGUGAAAUGCGUAGAUAUCGAGAGGAACACCCGCGGCGAAGGCGGGUAGCUGGGCCGACACUGACGCUGAGGCGCGAAAGCCAGGGGAGCGAACGGGAUUAGAUACCCCGGUAGUCCUGGCCUUAAACGAUGGAUACUUGGUGUCCGGGGUUACAUAGUCCCCGGGUGCCGGCGCUAACGCAUUAAGUAUCCCGCCUGGGGAGUACGGUCGCAAGACUG
rnacentral:rRNA from 1 species